GACGAACGCUGGCGGCGUGCCUAAUACAUGCAAGUCGAACGCUUCUUUCCUCCCGAGUGCUUGCACUCAAUUGGAAAGAGGAGUGGCGGACGGGUGAGUAACACGUGGGUAACCUACCCAUCAGAGGGGGAUAACACUUGGAAACAGGUGCUAAUACCGCAUAACAGUUUAUGCCGCAUGGCAUAAGGGUGAAAGGCGCUUUCGGGUGUCGUUGAUGGAUGGACCCGCGGUGCAUUAGCUAGUUGGUGAGGUAACGGCUCACCAAGGCCACGAUGCAUAGCCGACCUGAGAGGGUGAUCGGCCACACUGGGACUGAGACACGGCCCAGACUCCUACGGGAGGCAGCAGUAGGGAAUCUUCGGCAAUGGACGAAAGUCUGACCGAGCAACGCCGCGUGAGUGAAGAAGGUUUUCGGAUCGUAAAACUCUGUUGUUAGAGAAGAACAAGGACGUUAGUAACUGAACGUCCCCUGACGGUAUCUAACCAGAAAGCCACGGCUAACUACGUG
rnacentral:rRNA from 1 species